GCGAUUAUACCAACAUUAAUGCACUGAAUCCCAUCAAAACUCCGCAGUUUAGCGUGCUUGGGCGAUAGUAUUAGAAUGAGUGAUCCCCUAAGAAGUCAUUGUGCUGCAUCCC